rnacentral:rRNA from 1 species
GACGUAGGGCGCGAGCGUUUGUCCGGAUUUAUUGGGCGUAAAGAGCUCGUAGGCGGCUCGUUGCGUCAACCGUGAAAACCCGGGCUUAACUUCGGCUUGCGGUUGAUACGGGCGGGCUGGAGUUCGGUAGGGGAGACUGGAAUUCCUGGUGUAGCGGUGAAAUGCGCAGAUAUCAGGAGGAACACCGGUGGCGAAGGCGGGUCUCUGGGCCGAUACUGACGCUGAGGAGCGAAAGCGUGGGGAGCGAACAGG